UACGUAGGAUGCUAGCGUUGUCCGGAUUUACUGGGCGUAAAGCGCGCGCAGGCGGCACUGUAAGUAAGGUGUGAAAUAUCCCUGCUCAACGGGGAGGGUGCAUUUUAGACUGCAGAGCUAGAGGACGGUAGAGGGGGGUGGAAUUGCUGGUGUAGCGGUGAAAUGCGUAGAGAUCAGCAGGAACACCCGUGGCGAAGGCGGCCCCCUGGGCCGAACCUGACGCUGAGGCGCGAAGGCUAGGGGAGCGAACGGG
rnacentral:rRNA from 1 species